CGUAUAGCAUUACUAGCCCAAGGACUCACCAUACGCGCCACGCACGCAGCUGCACUCACCGAAUUAGCCUGACCGCUUCUCCCAAGCACAUAGCUUCUCCCAACCACCAAACCCGUCUUACAAUACAUCGCGAAAUCCUCACAAUUAUUCUCGAACACAUGAUACUCACCAAACCCAUUUCUCAACAAAAGAAACUCCGCGCGAGAGAUCACUUCCUCCGAAGGAUCCGAAGCCGCCGUCGUGCAGGUACCUCCUCUUAGCUUGGACAUGAACAGAGCCGGAGAGACGCUGUACUCGAAGCGAAGGAGGUCUCUUCCGGCGAGAAAGCAAUCGAGACAAGAAGAGAUAACUCCAUGCGUGUUGGAAUGCUUUCCUCCACAGUUAGGACAAGGGUUGUCUCCUCCGUGAUUGGUAAUAGAGCUGACAAUGAGCUUGUCUAGAAAAGUUCCCGUUCCGAUUUCAAGACCGCCUCCACGUGUGAAAUGAAUGACCUUUCCGUCUCCUAUGUAGAUUCCUGUGAGAUUGCAAAUAUAAAGUUCGGAUCUUUGAUAAACCCAGAAGAGAGAUGGAGAGAUAGAGAAGAGGAGGAGAUGGGUUACCGUGAUGGGAAUAGAUAUAAGCGUUACGCCAUGAGUAGAUGUGAUCUCCUGGUUUCAGAUCGUCUUUAGAGAUCUUGUUGGAGAAUAAUCCUAUCUUCUCUAGAAGAAUGGAUUCCAUCUCUGGCUGGAUCAAUGUGGGUUCUCUAGAGAACUUUUUUCUAAGAUUGUUGGUUUUAAUAACCAAACCAUUAAAGUCAACUGGCUUUGUAUUGGCUUAGCUGCAUAACCCAAAGUCAACGAAUUAACGUAUCCCCGAAGAACUUUUAAAAACAUAUAAAUUUAUAUUUAAUAAAUUAACAUAAAUUUUAAUUUAGGCUAGUGUAAAAUAUAACAUAGUUCGAUUAAAUAAUAAAAUAAUAAAUUUUUGAAAAAAUUAGAAAAAUAUAUUGGAGUUGUUCACUAAAUUGCAAAUUAAUAAUCUCUCCGUUUCGUAAUACUUGAUGUUUUGUAUUAGUGCACAAAGAUUAAGAAAAUUAACUUUUUGUAAAAAAAAAUAUUUUAAAAAAUAUAAUUUUAAAAUCAAUGAACCAAUUACUAAAAAAACUUUAAAAUCUAAUUGGUUGAACAAUUUUCAAUAAAGUUAAAUUAAUCUUAAAAUUUCAAAACUUCAUGUAAAUUAUUACAAAAUAAUUUUUUUAAAACAUCAUCUAUAUUGAAACGGAGGGAGUAAUUGAUAUAUACAAAAUUUGUAUAAAGUUAUAUAAACAUAAUUUUUCUUUUAGAAUGAUCUAUAAGAAAAUUUAAAUAUUAUUUUAUCGAAUUACAUUUAAAAGUGCAUUAACUUUCUUCAGAAAAUGCAUCCAAAAAUGAAUUACAUCUAGGUGACUUAUUGAUAACUCAGAAAAAGCCUUUGUUUAUAUUCAGCUACAUAUACACACAAGGUGUUGAAGAAGAUAAAGAGACAAAAGCAUGUUGCACUCUCGUCUGAUUGAAAUGGGUUAUGAUCAGAAAACCUUCUUGUGUGGAGAGCUUUGUUUGGUUAUUGUCUUAUUGAUGAUGACUAGUACUGUAACACUAAAUUCCAAAUCAACCAACGGAGCCACACUAACGGUAGGUAAGUGAUCAAACACCAUUCAUCUUCCACUUCUGUGUGUUGUUUUUUGGUUUUUCAAGUUUUUUCAUUUAAUGACAUGUCAUUCUCAUAUGACUCUAAACAACUGAUGUGUCAAGUGCUGGAGAGAACCUUGCUGUAUUAUUGUGUUGAUUCCACCUCCGAAUUGUGUAGAAGGCAUUCGAGUGAUGGGCCAAAUCAUUGGGCCUAAACAAAAUUACUAAAAUAUAUAUAAUCUUCGUCCGUCUCUCUGUUAGACCAAAAUCGCUUAUAGGAGAGAGGGUAGAAGAGACGAGAAAGAUAAAUGAGGCCGAUGCAACUGGAUAUGUUGGCGGAGAUGGAUGAUGCAGGUUCUUCGAUGGCCAUGGACGUAGAUGACAUCGAAGCCAUGGAGAUGCUCAGCGAAGGAGGACUUAUCUCUGAGAACAAGCUCGCCGACGCCGAUUUCUUCAACAAGUUCGACGACGAUUUCGACGACUCCGAUAUCAACUGAUCUUCUUUAGCUCUCUAUUGUUUCAGAUUUCCCCUUUGUUUGGUUGAGUUUUUUUAUGUAAUUUCUGGAAGAAUCUAUAUUCCCCCGUUGAUUAGGGAUUCUGUGUUUGCGAAUCGAAGUUCCUAUCUGAACAUUAAGUAUGAUCUCUACAUGUCUUGUGGGUUUUGCUUACUAUCCUCUUGGAACAGAUUUAACAUUUGGGUACCUUAAUUGUUUUGCCUUUGUUUCUUUCUGGAGUUGGAAUCUGUUUUUGUUUUCUUGCUAAUUUAGCUUCAACCUAAUCUCUUAAGGUGUUUCUCGUUGUAUCUGAGAUGUGCAUAGACAUAAACUUCGUUUAUUAGACACAGAAGAGAUGUUAGAAGCGCCGCGAGACCAAGAAAUGAUUCUUUCCUCUUGUGUGAGGUUUUUCACUUUACUCUCUUUCCGGUUCACUACAAACCACGACUCUUGCCUCUUGGUUUGCAUUUGAUUUUUUCGGUUUUUGGUUUUAAAAGGUUUAAUUCGGGUAGAGAACAUCCAGUUCAGUUUUGUUUGGUUUGGUUAAGUGUUGGAAAGGUUGAUCUACCUUUUUGAGUUUAGUGAUUAGAUACAACUAAAAUUUUCUAUAUUGUUUCGUACUGAUUAGAUAAUGAUUAUUGAGCAUAAACAAACUUGAUAUUUAAAAGAGAUUAAUAUCCAAUAUUUAAAACAGAGAGAUUAAUAUCCAAGUUCUAAAGUUGUGGAAUAUAAAAUAUAUAUAUAUAUAUCCAACUCAUUAAUAUGAAUACCCACAUUCCAUUUCAUCCCCAAAAAUAUGAAUACCAACGAGCUCCACAAAGUGUGAAAUAGCACGCCUUCCCAGUGGAAUAUUGAGAAAACCACAUUGCCUCCACAGCAGCACGCUAUACUGAAGUUGAACGUAGUGGAUUUCACGCUUAGUCCCUCUGCCAGUAAGAGCUUCACAUGGUUAGAAGACCAAGUAGAGUUAACUUCCUCCAAAGUUGGACAGUGAAAUCCAUGUUACAAUAAAGCAUAAGCUCAGUGGACCAAGAAAAAAAAAACAAUUGAACAAGCCAAACAUGAAAGGAAGGAAAAAAGAACUAAUCGUAGACUGCCCUGGAUGUACAAACAAAUAAGGAUAGGAGGGAAGUCCUAUAGCAAGAGGAGAAUGUAUCAGUUGAUCCAAAAGUGCCUCUUCAAAAUGGACAUGAGAUGAAUAUUCAGUAGGAACACUCAUAUGAACAAGCAUCUCUGUCACAGCAAACAGAGGUGGAUCCUGUAAAAAAAAUAUAAGAACAUUCCUAUCACACCAGAUAGAAGUGGAUCCUAUUAAAAAUAUAUAAGAACAUAAACACAAUGAAUAAAAUCGGUAAGUUACCGGAGCAGAACUUUGAACAGUCCAUCUUGCAAGGCAUCUGCUACCAUUUCAAGCAAAGGUAUAGCUCAAGAAUCCAUAAAAAUACCUGUGACAUUGACUUUCGUGCAGAGAGUGCUAAAACUGAAUGAGUAACCAACAGCGGUAAAUAGGAGCUCAAUUCUGCAGUGAAAGAAAAACAUGGAAUGAAGGAAAAACAACUAACCGUAGACUGUUCUUCUGGUUAUUCAUACAAAGAAGGAUACGAGGGAAGUCAUAUAGCAAUAGGAGAGUGAAUCAAAUGAUCCAUAAGUGUCUCUUCGAAUUGGGCAUGAGAUGAGUAUUCACUGGGAUAAUUGAUAUGCACAAUCACUGCACAUGAUUCUGUCACGGCAAUGUCUUGGCUAUUACAAUACUCAUCUCUUGCCAAAUUUGAACAAUCACUAGGAAGAGGCGAAAACUUACUUUUCUCUAAAACGGCUAACAUGUAUAAAAUGAAUCAAUAUUGUAUGAAUUGAUACAUGUUCCAGUAUUAUAAUAUUUUAUGUAUAUGUUUUCACGUGAAUAAGAUGAAAAUCAUGGUAUUAUGUAUUACAUGAAAGUGUAUUAUGACCCACUGUUAAAUGAUCACAAUAUUAUUAGAUGUGGUUUCCUUUUUGGUACUUAUGAUGUUGUGCAGAAAAUAUUAAGCGAAAAUUAUGGUGGGUUUAAUGUAUUGAUUUAACCGUAAAAACAAAAAAAUUGAAUGACCAAUUUCAACGAUAUACUUAUGAUGUUGUGCAGAAAAUAUUAAGCGAAAAUUAUGGUGGGUUUAAUGUAUUGAUUUAACCGUAAAAACAAAAAAAUUGAAUGACCAAUUUCGACGAUUAUAAAUAUAUCAUCAUACAACAAAAAAAAAUACUACAUAUUAUUUGUUUUUUAGAUGAUGCAUUCCAUGAUUUCAAAACACUAUUUUGAUACUAAGUAUUAAAAUAUAAAGUUUUGAAAAAAUUGGUUGGCCAACAUAAUUCUCCUUCCUCUUGUCUCUAGAUCUUCUUAUCGAAUCCAAAUAACUUUAACACUAGACCCUGAUCCGCGCGCCAGCGCUGGUAUGAAUUUUCAGUUUUUAAUUAUUUAUUUUAUUAAAUAAUGUAUUUGUAAUAUUCGUUCAUAUUAUAUUCAUUAAGUAAAUAUUUUAUUUUUGCAUCUUAAACUAUCUAUUUUUUUACGAAUGUGUGAUAUCAUAUAAAAAAAUAUAAAAAAAUGAGUAUAUAGAGUUAAUUAGAUAAUUGUAAAAACAGAAAUAUUUCUUUCGUGUGCGAUAUCAUAUAAAUAAUGAUCCGUCCAGUUAACAAAAAUCAUGAUUUUUUUAUGUGUAAUUUUUUUUAUUUUGACAAUUUCUUUAAAACUAUAUUAAAUUUUACAUAUUUUAAUUAGAAUAUUUUUAAUAUCUUUACCUUUUUAUUUGAAAUGCAACUCAAUAUUUUUUAAAAAAUUAUAACAAAAUAUUUAAAAAAUAUUUUUAGAAUUUGUUUGAAAAAUAUGAAAAUUACAUUUUAAAUUAAAAUCAUCCUAAACUAUGAUAAGUUUUGAUGUAAACGAAAACUCAAAUUAUGUCAAAAAUAAUUAUAUUCAAUGAUAAUAACAAUUUAAAUUAAUUAUUUUUAAAAAAUACAUUUACAUUGCCUGAACCUACUAGUCAUCAUGGCUUACAGUUCCAACUCUUAUGGUCUUGUGAAUUGAACAGUUGGCGUGGUGUUCUUGGCCACUAUAAUAAACUUUAAUUAGUCAUCACGGCUUACAGUUCCAACUCUUAUGGUCUUGCGAAUUGAACAGUUUAACCAACCAGUAAUCAACUUAAAUUUAAUUUAGAAACCGUGUUCUUCUUGAUUACGCAAAAAUAAGACAAUCUCAAGCGUGGUUAUAACGAGUAAAGAAUCAACCACAUCUCUUUCUUUACGCGUUUACUUUUUUACACAACACAAACAAUGAAGAUCUCAAUUAAACUGUAUUCACACAUCAUUAUCAACCACAUCUCUUUCUUUACGCGUUUACGUUUUUACACAACACAAACAAUGAAGACCUCAAUUAAACUGUAUUCACACAUCAUACAAUAGAGUUACACAAUUCAAAGAAUUUAGAAGCAGAUUCAAUCUGGCAUUAACCAACAAUCAAAUACACACAUUGCACACAAUCAGAACCAAACCAAACUCAGCUCUCCUUUGCCAAUGUAUCAGCCUGAUUAAACCGAGCAACGAGGCUCUCCACAGGCACUUUAACAGCAUCACUCCUCAUACCAACAUCCGAACACAGACGUAUAGCAUUACUAGCCCAAGGACUAACCAUACGCGCAACACACGCAGCCGCACUCACCGAGUUAGCCUGGCCGCUUCUCCCAAGCACAUAGCUUCUCCCCACCACCAAACCCGUCUUACAGUACAUCGCAAAAUCCUCACAGUUAUUCUCGAACACAUGGUACUCACCAAACCCAUUUCUCAGCAAAAGAAACUCCGCACGAGAGAUCACUUCCUCCGAAGGAUCCGAAGCCGCCGUCGUGCAGGUACCGCCUCGGAGCUUGGACAUGAACAGAGCCGGAGAGACACUGUACUCGAAGCGAAGGAGAUCUCCUCCGGAGAGAAAGCAAUCGAGACAAGAAGAGAUAACUCCAUGCGUGUUGGAUUGCUUUCCUCCACAGUUAGGACAAGGGUUGUCUCCUCCGUGAUUGGUAAUAGAGCUGACGAUGAG
rnacentral:lncRNA from 1 species